rnacentral:lncRNA from 1 species
GUUGAAUUUGGAAGACUUACAUCAGUCCUCAGGGUUGCAGGCAGCGUUGAGUACAGCACACACUACUCCGGCCUGACCUGUCCCUCCUCUGUGGCCAGAGAGGGUGGGUUGUCAAACAGGAGGUUUCAGGGCUCGCUUUGUGGGAGAGGAGGUCCUUGCUUCCAUGGCUGCCAUGGGGAAGAGGAUUCUGGCUUCUGUGACUCACGUCAGCAGGGAACGGGUCUGAGGCAGAGGCACUCAGAGCUCGGCUUCUGAAGCCUGCCAGGCUCCUUUAGCUCCAGUGCUCAGCAUGCCGGAGCCCCACACUGUGGGCUAUUGUUCUCCAGGUUAUUUCUUUGUUAAGCUACAUGCUGAGUCGUCUAGGCGCAAAGCCUCUGCCCCUCCUCCCCAAGGUAUGUGCAGCACCAUGCAGGCACAUCAUCAAUGGUUAUUAAAUAAAUGAAUACAUACCUUU